rnacentral:siRNA from 1 species
AGGUGUGUCAUCUCUCAUAAAACU